UGUCUCAAAGAUUAAGCCAUGCAUGUAUCAGUUCACACCUUCAUAUGGUGAAACCGCGAAUGGCUCAUUAAAUCAGCUAUUAUUUCUUAGAUCUUACGAUUUACUUGGAUAACUGUAGUAAUUCUAGAGCUAAUACAUGCUAUCGAGCCUCAGUCUUACGGUUGAGGUGGAUUUAUUAGAACAAAAUCAUCUGGCUUUGCCAUUGAUUGUUGAAUCUGGAUAACUUUUCUGAUCGCAUGACCUUGAGUCGGCGACGUAUCUUUCAAGUGUCUGACCUAUCACCUACGAUGGUGGGGUAUCUGCCCACCAUGGGUGUUACGGGUAACGGGGAAUCAGGGUUCGAUUCCGGAGAGGGAGCCUUAGAAAUGGCUACCACAUCUAAGGAAGGCAGCAGGCGCGCAAAUUACCCACUCUCGGCUAGAGGAGGUAGUGACGAAAAAUAACAAUGCAAGACUCAUAAUGAGGCCUUGCAAUUGGAAUGAGUACAAUUUAAAUCCUUUAACGAGGAGCAAUUGGAGGGCAAGUCUGGUGCCAGCAGCCGCGGUAAUUCCAGCUCCAAUAGCGUAUAUUAAAAUUGUUGCAGUUAAAAAGCUCGUAGUUGGAUCUCAGACGAGGUAGGUUGGUUCAGCUCAUUGCUGCUACUAAUCUUGCCCGUCUUUUUCAGCCGGUUGAUGCUUCAUGGUGCUCUUUACUGAGUGCUUUGUGAGUGCGCGGCACGUUUACUUUGAAAAAAUUAGAGUGCUCAAAGCAGGCGUUUAGCUUGAAUACUGUUGCAUGGAAUAAUAAAAUAGGACUUCGGUUCUAUUUUGUUGAUUUUCGGUGCCGAAGUAAUGAUAAAAAGAGACAGACGGGGGCAUUUGUAUGGUGGUGUUAGAGGUGAAAUUCUUGGAUCGCCGCCAGACAGACUACUGCGAAAGCAUUUGCCAAGUAUGUCUUCAUUAAUCAAGAACGAAAGUCAGAGGUUCGAAGACGAUCAGAUACCGUCCUAGUUCUGACCAUAAACUAUGCCAACCGACAAUCAGGGGCGGUUAUAUUUUUAUUGACCCUCCUGGCUGUCCCCAGGGAAACCUCAAGUGAGGUUCUGGGGGGAGUACCUUCGCAAGAAGUAAACUUAAAGGAAUUGACGGAAGGGCACCACCAGGAGUGGAGCCUGCGGCUUAAUUUGACUCAACACGGGAAAACUCACCCGGCCCGGACACCAGAAGGAUGGACAGAUUGAUAGCUCUUUCUUGAUUUGGUGGAUGGUGGUGCAUGGCCGUUCUUAGUUGGUGGAGUGAUUUGUCUGGUUAAU
rnacentral:rRNA from 1 species